GAUCUCUUAAAGCUGUUCUCAGUUCGGACUGCAGUCUGCAACUCGACUGCACGAAGCUGGAAUCGCUAGUAAUCGCGCAUCAGCCACGGCGCGGUGAAUACGUUCCCGGGCCUUGUACACACCGCCCGUCAAGCCAUGGGAGCCGGGGGUACCUGAAGUGCGUAACCGCGAGGAGCGCCCUAGGGUAAAACUGGUGACUGGGGCUAAGUCGUAACAAGGUAAC
rnacentral:rRNA from 1 species